rnacentral:misc_RNA from 1 species
CACAUAACCAGAACUUCGAGGAUCUUCAUUAAUUACAACCGGGUUUUUACAGUAACGCUAAUGUUAAUAAUGAAAAAAAAAAACACAUACUUUGCUAUAACGCAGAUCCUGUGACAAUUUCUUUCCCUUCAACCAAUUAGCGUUAACUUUUAUAGCUGUCGUUCAAGUUGGAGAUUAAGUAUCAAAUUGCUUCGAUGUCCCUUUCCAGGAAAUAGAAAGAACACACUCGAACGGUCUGUAAUUAUAAAGUAGUAUGGCGCAAGAAGUUUCCCUCGCAAAUCAAGACACAAAAACCAGUCAGGUGACACCAUCGAAAACUUUCUGGAACUAGUACAGACGGGAACAAAGGAGGAGGUAGACAAUUUCUUGUUGCCUUAAACUAGAACGGCUGAAAACGGGAGGGAUUCUCAGAACUAGCCUUCAAAGCAACUUGAAGACGCUCUCGCACAAAGCGAUGUUGUUGAAGUUUGGAAACUCAUAGCCAAGAUCAACGAGACCGAUAGCAACAAGACACUUGAAACUAUAAAUGAGGUCUGCACAACCAUCGCAGAGAGGGAGAACAACAAAGAAAAUGGAUGUCAUUUCAAGUGCAGUUGGGAUUGCAAGAAAAUCUGCCAAACAAUAAAGAAUUCAAUAUGCCAUUUGCCACAUGCCAUAUACCAUAUGCUUAAGUGCAAUGUAGACGAGCUUGAAGAGACGAAGACAGAAAUGCGAAGCCAAGAAGAACGGAGAUGGAUCGAAAUUCUCAGCAAUCCACUGUACAUCGGUCUAGAAUGGCUUUGGAGGAAUAAUCCCAAUUUCCAAUGCAAUAAAGGAGAAAGACGCAAAGAAAGCACGUCUACAGACAUCAUUGAAGCUGCCUUGGAUGACGCAUAUCUUCUGGAGAAAAUCGCCUCGUAUAAGCACUAUUACAGCCGAGAUGAAUACAAGCGUCGAGCUGAGGAAUAUGAGACGUUCGCUGCAGAUAUCGUCGAACAAGUAGACACUUCAGAUUUAAACCAGCUUCACGAAAUCAUGGACAUCGAAGGAAAUAGUUCUUUACUGAACAAAACGCCCGCUGAUUUUAAUCAGAGUCUUAGUCUCCUCAAGCAGCAGCCGGCCGCUGAUAAAAAACGGAAAAGGUUCGUGGCGAUCCCCAAUUGCCAAUAUGUUCUCAACGAGAUCGUUUAUCGUGGAUGGCGAAAUUGGCAAGAUCGAGGCAUAGUCAGGAAGGCCUUAUGGUUUCUCAUUCAGUUUCUCUUCGUCGCAGGUACUUGCAUCUUUUACAUUCCUGUUCGACUGGUACGACUAAGCAGCUGCAGUAAAUUUAAACAUGUCUGCUGCUGGAAGUUUAGGAAGUUAUACGAACUCCAAGUUCAUCAACCACACUAUGUCUUAUGUGCUAUUCCUUUGCCUGGUGUUCACCUCAUCGUUUCAGAAGGAGUUUGGAACAACUAAAACAGGCCUGGCUUGGAUUGACUGGCUGGUGCUUGCCUUUGUUGGUGGUCUAUUCCUGCAGGACGCCUUGGAGGCCAGCAGACAAGGAUUCUUCAAUUACAUUUCCAAAUGGUGGAAUGUCGUAGACACCUUGAUUGUCUUUUUGUUUCUUGUGGCUUACACAGUGUGGCUGAGUGCAUGGGGGUAUUACGGAGAGUGGAAGCCCAGAAAAUCUGCAUUUAUCGUGGCGGAUACCAUCUACGCCAGCGCCACGGUGAUGGCCUUUUUCCACUUAGGUCACGUUUUCCAAGUCAAUUCAGUGUUGGGUCCUUUGCAGCUAUCACCUUACAAAAUGCUGAAAGCUGUUCUCAAGUUUCUCCCCAUCUUUCUACUCCUCUACAUUGCAUUUGCUUCUGGGGUGGCCAAGAUAUACUCGUACUAUGUUGCUUCGCAGAUCAAACUACGAGAACUGGACGACAGUCAGGGCUACAAGGCGUCUCAUCCCUAUGGCAAGCAAGUUGACACUUUCAUUGGAAUGUUUUGGUUGUUACUUGGCCUCGUGGAAGAAGACAAAAUCUCAGUGGAAGAUCCCGCCUUUUCACUCACGUCCACAUUUGGUCGCAUUUUUAUGACAGCCCACUUGGUGUGCACCGUCAUCGUAGCUUUAAACAUGCUGAUCGCUAUGAUGAAUAACUCAUUUGACAGAGUCAUGGAAAUCGCUCUCGUGGAGUGGAAAUUCUCAAGAACCCGUAUGUGGCUGGAAUGGACCGACAAAGGCAACACAGUCCCCGUGUCUUUCAACAGGAGAAAAUCACGAGGGACAAAACUGGAUAUCGCAGCAUUUUCCCUGCUGCUGCUCCUGCUGUAGAAGCUGUACAUGUAGUUGUGCGUGUGGAUGCACUUGCUGCUCGAGGGGGAAAACGUCCAUGAGAAAGGAACGAAUGGAAGUAAUGACAACACUGGUCGUGAAAUAUCUGAAAGACCAUUACUCUGCUAGAUGGAAAGAACUCACAGCAAAAGCAACAG